rnacentral:rRNA from 1 species
GUGUCAGCCGCCGCGGUAAUACGUAGGUGGCAAGCGUUGACCGGAAUUAUUGGGCGUAAAGCGCGCGCAGGCGGUUUCUUAAGUCUGAUGUGAAAGCCCACGGCUUAACCGUGGAGGGUCAUUGGAAACUGGGAGACUUGAGUGCAGAAGAGGAAAGUGGAAUUCCACGUGUAGCGGUGAAAUGCGUAGAGAUGUGAAGGAACACCAGUGGCGAAGGCCACUUCCUGGGCUGCAACUGACGCUGAUGCGCGAAAGCAUGGGGAGCAAACAGGAUUAGAUACCCUGGUAGUCCAUGCCUUAAACGAUGAGUGCUGAGUGUUAGGGGGUUU